UACGUAGGUGACAAGCGUUAUCCGGAUUUAUUGGGCGUAAAGCGCACGCAGGCGGCUGAUUAAGUCUGACGUGAAAUCUCUCGGCUUAACCGGGAGCGGUCGUUGGAAACUAAUUGGCUUGAGGCGAUGAGAGGGGUGUGGAAUUCCCGGUGUAGUGGUGGAAUGCGUAGAUAUCGGGAGGAACAUCAGUGGCGAAGGCGGCUUCCUGGCCUGUUCUUGACGCUGAGGCGCGAAAGCUAGGGGAGCAAACGGG
rnacentral:rRNA from 1 species